rnacentral:tRNA from 1 species
GGUGAAAUAGCUCAGUUGGUUAGAGCAUUGGAAUCAUAACCCAAAUGUCACAGGUUCAAUUCCUGUUUUCGCUA